rnacentral:lncRNA from 1 species
UAAACCAUUUUUUUUUGAAAUACGAACUUUAAAUCCUAAACCAUCAAUCCUAAACCUCUUUUUUUUUUUGAAAUACGAACCCUAAACCCUAAACAAUCAAUCCUAAAUCCUUUUUUUUAAAUAUGAACCCUGAACCCUGAAACAUCAACUCUAAACCCUAAACCCCGAAACAUCAACUCUAAGCCUUAGACCAUAAACCUUCAACUCUAAACCCUAAAACAUUAACUCUAAACCCUAAACCAUCAAUCCUAAACCCUAUUUUUUUUUAAAUAUGAACCCUAAACCCUGAAACAUCAACUCUAAACCCUAAACCAUCAAUCCUAAACCUUUUUUUUAAUACGAACCCUGAACCCUAAACCCUGAAACAUCAACUCUAAACCCUAAACCCCAAAACAUCAACUCUAAACCAUAAACCCCAAAACAUCAACUCUAAACCCUAAAUCUUAAGUUCAGAUUAGUUAACCAUAUUUUUUUUUUGUCAAAGUUAAUCGAAAAGUUAUAAAUGGUUAGUGUAAACAUGAAAAGUGGUUAGUGUAAACAUGAAAAGUGGUACUUUGAAAAUGGUAUUUUUGGCAAUUUCCCAUUGAUAAUUUAGAAAUCAAAUUUAAUUAUUAAUAACAAUUAGAGUUAUAAACCCCCACUUAUUUUAAUUAUAUUUUUUAAUAAUCAUUUG